rnacentral:rRNA from 1 species
GACGAACGCUGGCGGCGUGCUUAACACAUGCCAGUCGAACGGAAAGGCCCUGCUUUUGUGGGGUGCUCGAGUGGCGAACGGGUGAGUAACACGUGAGUAACCUGCCCUUGACUUUGGGAUAACUUCAGGAAACUGGGGCUAAUACCGGAUAGGAGCUCCUGCUGCAUGGUGGGGGUUGGAAAGUUUCGGCGGUUGGGGAUGGACUCGCGGCUUAUCAGCUUGUUGGUGGGGUAGUGGCUUACCAAGGCUUUGACGGGUAGCCGGCCUGAGAGGGUGACCGGCCACAUGGGGACUGAGAUACGGCCCAGACUCCUACGGGAGGCAGCAGUGGGGAAUAUUGCACAAGGGGCGGAAGCCGGAUGCAGCAACGCCGCGUGCGGGAUGACGGCCUUCGGGUUGGAAACCGCUUUCGCCUGUGACGAAGCGUGAGUGACGGUAAUGGGUAAAGAAGCACAGGCUAACUACGU